rnacentral:lncRNA from 1 species
CAGAGCGAGACUCCGUCUCAAAAAAAAAAAAAAAAAAGAAAAAGGAAGAGACACCUAUAGGUGGCUCUCAUGAAGGGGUAAGAGCUGGUUCCCAUGCACCAUUGCACACUGUGUUAGAGAAUAAAGAGGGGCUGGUGUAAGGCAGUGGGCAGUGGCAAUGUGUUGGCAAAGCUGGGAGCACACAGCCUUUCUGAAGGCAUUCAAAAUUAAAUUUAAAAAAACACGGACCAGAGUGGAAAUGGCCUAUGGAUCCCCAGUUUGUGACUCCAGAAGAGAAUAUGAUCCAAACUCCUUAGGCUACCAUUCAGAAUUCUUUACGUUCUCAUUCAUUCCUAUUUUUCUAGCUUGUUUCUAGUUCUCUCACUCUUGCUCACUAUAAUCCAGCCACAUUGAACUGUUUGUGAUUCCCUCAGCCUGUCUCUGUUACUCUGCACAUAUUCUUCUCUUUUCCAUGAAUGUUUUUGUUUUUUUGUUGUUGUUGUUGUUGUUUGAGAUGGAGUCUCGCUCUACAGCCAGGCUGGAGUGCAGUGGCACGAUCUUGGUUCACUGCAAGCUCCGCCUCUCAGGUUCAAGCGAUUCUCCUGCCUCAGCCUCCUGAGUAGCUGGGACUACAGGCCACGUCACCACGCCUGGCUAGUUUUUGUAUUUUCAGUAGGGGCAGGGUUUCACCAUGUUGGCCAGGAUGGUCUCGAUCUCUUGACCUCGUGAUCCACCCGCUUUCGCCUCCCAAAGUGCUGGGAUUACAGGCGUAAGCCACCAUGCCUGGCCUUCCAGGAAUGUUUUAUACCAUCAUUUCUUUUGGA